CUCCUACGGGAGGCAGCAGUGGGGAAUAUUGCACAAUGGGCGCAAGCCUGAUGCAGCAACGCCGUGUGAGUGAAGAAGGUUUCGGAUCGUAAAACUCUGUCCUAAGGGAAGAAACAAAUGACGGUACCUUAGGAGGAAGCCCCGGCUAACUACGUGCCAGCAGCCGCGGUAAUACGUAGGGGGCAAGCGUUAUCCGGAAUCACUGGGCGUAAAGGGUGCGUAGGCGGCUUAGCAAGCCAGGGGUGAAAGGCAUUGGCUCAACCAAUGUAAGCCUUUGGAACUGUUAAGCUUGAGUGCAGGAGAGGUAAGUGGAAUUCCUAGUGUAGAGGUGAAAAUUCGUAGAUAUUAGGAGGAACACCAGUGGCGAAGGCGACUUACUGGACUGUAACUGACGCUGAUGCACGAAAGCGUGGGUAGCGAACAGGAUUAGAUACCCUGGGAG
rnacentral:rRNA from 1 species